UACGGGGGGAGCGAGCGUUGUUCGGAUUUACUGGGCGUAAAGGGCGCGUAGGCGGUCAGCACAAGUCAGUUGUGAAAUCUCCGGGCUUAACCCGGAAAGGUCAACUGAUACUGUGCGACUAGAGUGCGGAAGGGGCAACUGGAAUUCUCGGUGUAGCGGUGAAAUGCGUAGAUAUCGAGAGGAACACCUGCGGCGAAGGCGGGUUGCUGGGCCGACACUGACGCUGAUGCGCGAAAGCCAGGGGAGCGAACGGG
rnacentral:rRNA from 1 species